rnacentral:rRNA from 1 species
UUUCGCAAUGCCCGAAAGGGUGACGAAGCGACGCCGCGUGCGGGAAGAAGGCCUUCGGGUUGUAAACCGCUGUCGGGAGUUAAGAAAUGUAAGGAUGUUAAUAGCAUCUUUGCUUGACUAAGGCUCCGGAGGAAGCCACGGCUAACUCUGUGCCAGCAGCCGCGGUAAUACAGAGGUGGCAAGCGUUGUUCGGAAUUAUUGGGCGUAAAGAGCACGUAGGUGGAUUUGUUAGUCAGAUGUGAAAGCCUUCUGUUCAACGGGAGAAUUGCAUCUGAAACUACAAACCUUGAGUGUAGGAGGGGAGAGUGGAACUUCUGGUGGAGCGGUGAAAUGCGUAGAUAUCAGAAGGAACGCCGGCGGCGAAAGCGACUCUCUGGUCUAUAACUGACACUGAGUGUGCGAAAGCUAGGGGAGCAAACGGGAUUAGAUACCCCGGUAGUCCUAGCCGUAAACGAUGGGCACUAAGUAGAGGGGUUUU